UACACACACAACAACACGUCGCGGUCCGACUCGGAGAGAAUAAAAGAGAGAUUAGGCUAGUGAGAGUGAGAGCCGUCAUUUUACAUUCAGUCAAAGAAGCACCCAGACAUAGCCAGAGAUGUUGCUGAGACGAAGAUGGAAGUCGAGUCGUAGUUUGCGGUUGUAAUGUUAGUGGGUUAUAUAGUGUCGGGGUUUCUUCUCUAUGGAUUCUGAACUGACAUAGUUCAUGGAUUUUCUCUACAGAGGCAAGUAGUUGUUUUUUCUAAUCCUUUGGUUCUGCUAGUAGAUGCUCUACUAGUUCCUUAUUUUCAUCUCAGAUGUAUCUUAUUUUAGAUCAUGCAAUCUUUGUUAUCCUAUUAUUAUUGUUGCACCAUGAUUCAUGAUCAUGUUUGAUCUCAUGUUGUGGAGAGAGACGGGUAGUCUUCUCCGGCUUUUUGGAAUCGCGUAAUCUGCGGGAGCUCAUGUGGAGCCUUGAGGCUAUUGUAUUUACCUCAAGAUAGUGAUUAUAUCACUUAUCCCUGCUAUCCUAGUCUUCGGUAUUGGUAUCACGACGGCAAACGUAUUGUACCGGUCACAGUUCAGGUAUGGGACUGUCUGUGUUCUCCGCUGGGGACGGCCUCUGUUCGGGAACGUGUCGGUGAUGGAUCCGUAGGAGCGACCGACAUCAGUAGGUCAGAGUGUCCGGGUCUUAGCGGGUAAAAGAACACUGCUUGACUAGCGCAACCUAGUCAAGACUGUCGAUGUCGGAGUACCCCUCUGCAGAGUGUAAAAGCGUUAAUAUUAACCCCUGUGACUCCCGGGUUGGGAAGCUUGCUGUCACGUGUGAUGCCAAUCGUUUCCGUGUCCAUUUAUGUUGAACUUAUCUUUCGUUUUAUCUAUUGAUCUCCUUUGAUUCCGACUAAUCCUUUGAUCAUCCCUUGAUCUUUUAUUGUACUACUUGCGGAGUAUGUUUUCAUACUCACCCUCCCAUUUUAUUUUUUUUACAGAAGUGAGCACGAGGAGAUGAUGGCAAAGCGUAGGUUUAGCGUACGGGAAGGGAAAAUAAAUAUGUAUUUUGUCUUGUGUAAUAGAAAAGAAAAUGAAUAAAAGUGUUGUUUUAGCUUGUAAAUAUGUCUUAGUUUGAGCCUUACAUGUUUGUAAUCGCAAGAUUAUAAAUAUGUGGCGUUGUCACGGCUAGGCCCGGUUUUGGGGCGUGACAUGGGAUAAGCAACCAAAAUUGUUUGCCUGGUCGGCGUGAUCGUUGCAUCGUCAUCUCCCCCCUGUGGUGGCCUCUGCCCCGAUGUUGCCCCGCUUUGGUGGGAUGUGCCUUGACGCAGUCGGCAGCAGCUCGAGCAGGUGACCACCAGUAGAAGAACAAGAAGACCGACAUUGCAGAAUGGGUCAGUUCAAUGGUCAAAAAAUUUAUAGGAUUGUGAACAUAUAGUAGGAUGGUCACCCUUUACAUA